UUCCGUGAACACUUGGUCACUGAUUGCUGUGACUCAACAUGUGGUCCUGAUGGUGGAAUUGCUGCUUCUCCUUUUGGAGGCAUUCAGUGGGAAGGCAAGGCCUCACUCGGUCCAGUAAUGGUUCAAGAGCGACAGAAGACUUUAGCUGGUUUUCAAUAAAUGG